UACGAAGGGGGCUAGCGUUGCUCGGAAUCACUGGGCGUAAAGCGCACGUAGGCGGCUUUCUAAGUCAGGGGUGAAAUCCUGGAGCUCAACUCCAGAACUGCCUUUGAUACUGAGGAUCUUGAGUUCGGGAGAGGUGAGUGGAACUGCGAGUGUAGAGGUGAAAUUCGUAGAUAUUCGCAAGAACACCAGUGGCGAAGGCGGCUCACUGGCCCGAUACUGACGCUGAGGUGCGAAAGCGUGGGGAGCAAACAGG
rnacentral:rRNA from 1 species